GACGAACGCUGGCGGCGUGCUUAACACAUGCAAGUCGAAGAUAGUGGCGAACGGGUGAGUAAUGCCUAGGAAUCUGCCUGGUAGUGGGGGAUAACGUCCGGAAACGGGCGCUAAUACCGCAUACUAUCAGAUGAGCCUAGGUCGGAUUAGCUAGUUGGUGGGGUAAAGGCCUACCAAGGCGACGAUCCGUAAAUGGUAUGAGAGGAUGAUCAGUCACACUGGAACUGUGACACGGUCCAGACUCCUACGGGAGGCAGCCGUGGGGAAUACUGGACAAUGGGCGAAAGCCUGAUCCAGCCAUUCCGCGUGUGUGAUGACGGCCUUCGGGUUGUAAAGCUCUGUUAAUCGGGACGCGGUACCGGAAUAGAAAGCCACGGCUAACUACGUGCCAGCAGCCGCGGUAAUUC
rnacentral:rRNA from 1 species